rnacentral:rRNA from 1 species
GCCUAAAGCGUCCGUAGCCUGCUUUGUCAGUUUUCGGUUAAAUCCAUACGCUCAACGUAUGGGCUGCCGGAAAUACUGCAAAGCUAGGGAGUGGGAGAGGUAGACGGUACUCGGGAGGAAGGGGUAAAAUCCUUUGAUCUCUCGAUGACCACCUGUGGCGAAGGCGGUCUACCAGAACACGUCCGACGGUGAGGGAUGAAAGCUGGGGGAGCAAACCGGAUUAGAUACCCGGGUAGUCCCAGCUGUAAACUAUGCAAACUCAGUGAUGCAUUGGCUUGAUGCCAAUGCAGUGUUGCAGGGAAGCCGUUAAGUUUGCCGCCUGGGAAGUACGUACGCAAGUAUGAAACUUAAAGGAAUUGGCGGGGGAGCACCACAAGGGGUGAAGCCUGCGGUUCAAUUGGAGUCAACGCCAGAAAUCUUACCCGAAGAGACAGCAGAAUGAAGGUCAAGCUGGAGACUUUACCAGACAAGCUGAGAAGUGGUGCAUGGCCGUCGCCAGCUCGUGCCGUGAGGUGUCCUGUUAAGUCAGGUAACGAGCGAGACCCUUGCCUCUAGUUGCCACCAUUACUCUCAGGAGUAGUGGGGCGAAUUAGCGGGACCGCUGCAGUUAAUGUGGAGGAAGGAAAGGGCCACGGCAGGUCAGUAUGCCCCGAA